rnacentral:rRNA from 1 species
GACGAACGCUGGCGGCGUGCCUAAUACAUGCAAGUAGAACGCAGUUGCGAACGGGUGAGUAACGCGUAGGUAACUGCCUCAUAGCGGGGGAUAACUAUUGGAAACGAUAGCUAAUACCGCAUACUGUGAGAUUGACCUGCGUUGUAUUAGCUAGUUGGUGAGGUAAAGGCUCACCAAGGGGAAGAUACAUAGCCGGCCUGAGGGGGGGAUCGGCCACACUUGGACUGGGGAACGGGCCCAACUCCCAAGGGGGGGAGCAGUUGGGAAUUUUUCGGAAAGGAGCGAAGGCUGACCGAGCAACGGCGGGUGAGUGAAUAAGGGUUUCGGAUCGUAAAGCCUUGUUGUUUGAGAAGCGGUAACUAACCAGAAAGGGACGGCUAACUACGUGCCAGCCGCCGCGGUAAUAC